rfam:Aedes albopictus isolate Foshan contig243070, whole genome shotgun sequence.
CAAACGGUUCUUUUCAGAACCAUCGAAAACCAUCGGAUAAAUUUCCU